rnacentral:rRNA from 1 species
AAUCAACGCUGGCGGCGUGCCUAACACAUGCAAGUCAAACGCGAGAGGGGCUUCGGCCCUGAUUGAGUGGCAAACGGGUGAGUAACGCGUGGGUGACCUACCUUCGAGUGGGGGAUAACGUUCCGAAAGGGACGCUAAUACCGCAUAACAUCCUGUCUUUGGACAGAUGGAGAUCAAAGCCGGGAUCGUAAGACCUGGCGCUUGAGGAGGGGCCCGCGUCCGAUUAGCUAGUUGGUGGGGAAUGGCUCACCAAGGCAACGAUCGGUAGCCGGCCUGAGAGGGCGGACGGCCACACUGGGACUGAGACACGGCCCAGACUCCUACGGGAGGCAGCAGUGGGAAUUGUCGCAAUGGGCNCAAGCCUGACGACGCAACGCCGCGUGAAGGAUGAAGGUC